GAUGAAGAACGUAGCGAAAUGCGAUAAGUAAUGUGAAUUGCAGAAUUCAGUGAAUCAUCGAAUCUUUGAACGCACAUUGCGCCCGUUAGCAUUCUAGCGGGCAUGCCUGUCCGAGCGUCAUUUCAACCCUCAGGGUCCCCGUUCCGGCGGGGAACCUGGUGUUGGGGAUCGGCUCGCCCCGUGCGGCGCCGUCCCCCAAAUUCAGUGGCGGUCUCGCUGCAGCCUCCCCUGCGUAGUAGUUACAACCUCGCAUCGGAGCUCAGCGCGGCCACGCCGUAAAACCCCCGACUUUCUGAACGUUGACCUCGGAUCAGGUAGGACUACCCGCUGAACUUAAGCAUAUCAAUAAGCGGAGGA
rnacentral:misc_RNA from 1 species